rnacentral:rRNA from 1 species
AACGAACGCUGGCGGCAGGCUUAACACAUGCAAGUCGAGCGCCCCGCAAGGGGAGCGGCAGACGGGUGAGUAACGCGUGGGAAUCUACCCAUCUCUACGGAAUAACGCAUGGAAACGUGUGCUAAUACCGUAUACGUCCUUCGGGAGAAAGAUUUAUCGGAGAUGGAUGAGCCCGCGUUGGAUUAGCUAGUUGGUGGGGUAAAGGCCUACCAAGGCGACGAUCCAUAGCUGAUCUGAGAGGAUGAUCAGCCACACUGGGACUGAGACACGGCCCAGACUCCUACGGGAGGCCGCAGUGGGGAAUGUUGGACAAUGGGCGCAAGCCUGAUCCAGCCAUGCCGCGUGAGUGAUGAAGGCCCUAGGGUUGUAAAGCUCUUUCACCGGUGAAGAUAAUGACGGUAACCGGAGAAGAAGCCCCGGCUAACUUCGUGCCAGCAGCCGCCGUAAGAC